AACGAACGCUGGCGGCAUGCCUAACACAUGCAAGUCGAACGAAGCCUUCGGGCUUAGUGGCGCACGGGUGCGUAACGCGUGGGAAUCUGCCCUUUGGUUCGGAAUAACAGUUGGAAACGACUGCUAAUACCGGAUGAUGACGAAAGUCCAAAGAUUUAUCGCCAGGGGAUGAGCCCGCGUAGGAUUAGCUAGUUGGUGUGGUAAAGGCGCACCAAGGCGACGAUCCUUAGCUGGUCUGAGAGGAUGAUCAGCCACACUGGGACUGAGACACGGCCCAGACUCCUACGGGAGGCAGCAGUGGGGAAUAUUGGACAAUGGGCGAAAGCCUGAUCCAGCAAUGCCGCGUGAGUGAUGAAGGCCCUAGGGUUGUAAAGCUCUUUUACCCGGGAUGAUAAUGACAGUACCGGGAGAAUAAGCCCCGGCUAACUCCGUGCCAGCAGCCGCCGUAA
rnacentral:rRNA from 1 species